UGCAGAAAUUUAGAUAAAAUAGAACAGUUGUGUUUGGAGAAGCGAUCCAAGUCUUUUGUGUCAGGUGUUAUCAAUUACCCAGUGAGUUGAAGUCGAGUCAUAAUAACUUGAAACAAGGUUUUCAACGUCACCGAAGAAUGCUGCUGGAAAUCAUCACUCAUCGGAUAAGAUGACAAUACAAACGAAGAUUGUGAAAAUUCAAUGAAUUCAAAUUUUUCUCGAAACAGAAGGAGAUACGAGAAGCGAGUGGUUGACGCCACUUUAUAUAGUGACUCUCCAACGAGAUGGCCUACGUUUCAGAACUUGGCAGACGGAAAUGCGGGUAGUGAUUCGGAGAACGCUGUGCCAGGAGUUUCAGAUUAGUCAACAGACUAUACCGCACCAUCUUCAGAAUCACUUUCAAUAAGCAAUGUAAGUGACUUAAAAGAAAAUCAUAUAUACGGAAAAGAAAAGGGCUGUAAAUCAAUUCCAAAAAAGCUUCUAAAUAAACGUGAACCAGAAAAGAAACGAC